UGGCAAGUUUUUAAACACUUUAGCAAACCAGAUGAUAACCAAAAGAACGAGUGAGUGUCUUGUACAGUUUUAGACCGGACUAUUAUUUUGACAUGAUAAGGCCAUUGCCAAAAACCGGAUGUCUUAUAGCAUGUUUAGCGGAAGUUUUUACCAACGAUACUUUUACUGCUUUUAGUUUCGAAAGUAGGCUACCAGAGAACGGAGACUAACGUAAUUUUUCUUCCUUUAAUUCUGAGCUGCUUUUCCCUCCCGUUUAUUCCACCAAUUUCUAAAAUGAAGCAGCAGGUCUGGAUAAUUUUCUUUCUAGCAGUUCCACUCUGUUCAUGUAAGUAUAACUUGCUUGUAUUAAGCAUGUACAACUAUAACAGAAUCGACUUCAGUCUCGGCCAGCAAACAAACAGAAUAGCUUAUUUGCAACCUUUUGCCAGGCAAGCCUAUUAAAGACGUGUCGUAGCCUACUUGCGGUAGUUGUGUGACCCGAGCUGAACAUUAUGGAAUGUCUUAUGGUACUCUUAUAUCUCAUAAAUAAUCUUUAUUUCAUUUGACUUCAGCUGUCCAAGUCGAUAAUGCGACUGUCAAUGGAGACGUUACCCUUUCCCCUGUUGGAAUCAGUACUGUCAGAAGCGUGGUGUGGAAAUUUGAGAUUGAUAAGGUUGCUGAAUUUGAUCCAAGCUUCAGCGAAGAGGUAAAGAUAUUUGGUAAUUACCGGGGACGAACAACCUUGGAUAAGGAAACGGGCAGCAUUACAAUAUCAAAGUUGACUCUCGAGGAUAGUGGGACGUUCUCAGUUGAGGUUGACAGUGUGUUGAUGCCGGAUUCGUACCGUCUCGAAGUUCACGUUCCAGUCCCUUGGGUCCAAAUUGUUGCGGGGAUACUUGCAAGUAUUGGUGUAAUCGGAAUAGGAGCUGUAGGAUGGCGCCUAUAUCAAAACAGGGAAAGCAAGACUGAUGAUGACAAAGCAGGAAAUGGUUCUGGACUAGGCAGCAACAAAGACACGGACGAUCAAAAUGGUGAAUCGGGAGGAUUGGUGGGCAAAUCAACAGUUUGAGGUAAGCCUUUCUUAACUUUUUCACAAUGAGUUUCCUCUGCUCUUGACCAAUCAAUCAUAGAUGCUCGGGGGAUGUCCCAAAAUUUCCUUAAAAUGGCUUUCCAGUACGAAACGGCACCUUGACGGACAGACUGGAUUUCACCU
rnacentral:lncRNA from 1 species